rnacentral:rRNA from 1 species
AACGAACGCUGGCGGCGUGCCUAACACAUGCAAGUCGAACGCGAAAGGGGGCAACCCCCGGUAGCGUGGCAGACGGGUGAGUAACACGUGGGUAACCUACCCGGAGGUGGGGGAUAACCCUUCGAAAGGAGGGCUAAUACCGCAUAAUACCGUGGGGACCUCGGUCCUUGCGAUCAAAGCUGGCCUCUGUUUACAAGCUAGCGCCACCGGAUGGGCCCGCGCCCCAUUAGCUAGUUGGUGAGGUAACGGCUCACCAAGGCGACGAUGGGUAGCCGGCCUGAGAGGGCGAUCGGCCACACUGGAACUGCGACACGGUCCAGACUCCUACGGGAGGCAGCAGUGAGGAAUCUUGCGCAAUGGGCGAAAGCCUGACGCAGCGACGCCGCGUGGAGGAUGAAGGUCUUCGGAUUGUNNNNNNNGUCGAGUGGGACGAAUGCCGUGAGGGUGAAUACCCCUUGCGGU